rnacentral:rRNA from 1 species
UACGAAGGGGGCUAGCGUUGUUCGGAUUUACUGGGCGUAAAGCGCACGUAGGCGGAUCGUUAAGUCGGGGGUGAAAUCCUGGAGCUCAACUCCAGAACGGCCUUCGAUACUGGCGAUCUCGAGUCCGGAAGAGGUGAGUGGAACUCCUAGUGUAGAGGUGGAAUUCGUAGAUAUUAGGAAGAACACCAGUGGCGAAGGCGACUCACUGGUCCGGUACUGACGCUGAGGUGCGAAAGCGUGGGGAGCAAACAGG